GCGGGUGUAGCUCAAUGGUAGAGCUGAAGCCUUCCAAGCUUAAGACGACGGUUCGAUUCCGUUCACCCGCUCCA
rnacentral:tRNA from 1 species